CUUUCAAUAAUUCAAUCAUUUUAAUUUCUAUAAAAAUCGAAAAUGUUUAUGCCUAUAGAUCAAUCUAAUUAUUAUACAUCGUGACAGGAGAAAGGAUGUGAACCAGAAACUGAAUGUCAUGUGUUAAGUGUGUGAUUUCAAUCAUGUGUGUGAGAGAGGAUGUGGGAUUGAAGUUCCUCUUUAAAAGGUUCAUGUAGUUCAGAUGGCAGAGCUGCAUGAUGAUUCCUCUUAUUGGCUCAACACAAGAAACAGAACAAAGGCAGAAUUUACAAGACAGUAUGGCAUGGGAGAGAAAAUAUGGAGAAACAAGAACUGCAGAUAAUUAAACUGAUAGGAAAGAAAGAGAAACAUGGGGAACAUGACACCGAAGACACCGAGUCUACUCAGACAAAACAGCAUUAACAGCGGCAAACCGAACUUUUCUCAUGUUGGUGUUUGGUGUUUCAGAGCGAGUCACAGAUGAGAAAGCAGUGGUUCUGUUCAACUAACCAGCAGAAUAUUCUCCAACAUGUCCAUCACUGAUUAAACAAUAUAUAUGUGAAUAUGUAUAAAUGGGCAUUAUAUUUAUAAAGUACAUGUUUGGAUUUAAUUUUCAACACUACACUUUGUUCUGAAUGAAUCUGAUCUGAAUGUGAUGUUUAAAGUAAUUAUUGAUGUAAUCAGAUUUGUUUCUGUAUGUUAUUUUAUGAUAUAAUGCGUUUUAAUUUUCUUGCUGAACUUUAUCCUUUACUUGACAGAGAGCAUCAGAAAUACACACAACUGCAAUGCAGGAAAUAUUUUCUAGAAUAUGUUAUAUAGUCAUAGAUUGCAUGACAACAUUAAACUAUUAAAAACUACACUACAAAUCAAAGGCACAUACAAUAUGACAACACAAGUAACAAAACAGUUUUAAGCUUUGAGGGUAUACAUAUCCAGAGACGUCAGAGUUCAGCUCAACUAACCCUAAUCAAACACACCUAAACACAUCAUCAAGGUGAGCAGAGUUAUCAUGCAUGACCUUUUCAACCCAAAAUCAGGGCAGAAUAUCCUGUGAUGGCUACUAUACAGGGCACUAAUAAGGUCAAAUAGAACAAACCUCGGAAGUGAGAAGAGAAACAUACAGAACGUGCAGACAUUGACCAAGCAAAAGCUUGUUUCUAUGAAUAAAAACAAAUCAACCA